UUUUGUUUUCAAGUUCUCUGUGGUUUUGUUCUCUGACGCUCCUUGGUGGCACCGUCUGACUUUAAUAUAUCCUCACCCCAUGUCUGCCGGGGUGAGGCCAUUAGGGCGGUGUAAACAGAGGUGGCUUAUCUACAAACGGCUGGUGUUCUGCACAUGAAAGGCAACAAGUGCCCUUUAAAGGACAGCACAGAGCAAACAGCCCGGACCUCCAACAACAGAGUCUCAACACUAGCUGCAGUCGUGGUGUGAGAGGAUUCACAGAUAUGGGAUCUUCACAAUACAAGUCUUCAGUUUUGGUAUUUUCCUGGAGAACUGAUUUCAUCUCUCUGAGUGCUUCCUUCUGCAUCAGAUCUGCAGACUGGUGUUUCUCCGACCAUUCCGUCAUUCCUAAAGCGGCCUGUGCUUAAAUAACAUUGGGGAAUGCUGGUGGACGUGCAUCUGGAGGCAGCAGUUCCGGUUCUUACUUGUUGCUUUAGUGACAGCAUCUGGAUGCUACCCCUGGGAAGUUCACUAAGGCUACACUGUGAUUUCUGUUUCUACGAGACUGAAAACCCCUCAUGCCUUGAGGAUGCUAAAUUCUAGACACUAUUUUAUUUUGUACCCUUAUCUACUAUGCUUCUUGGAGAUGUUCUGGCUGCUUUAAAGGUUUUCCAGAACAUUUACUGUUUUUAUUCUUUUUUUUUUUUUUCUAGACAGGGUUUCUCUUUGUAGAUUCUGUGCCUGCCCUGGAUCUCACUCUGUAGAUCAGGCUGGCCUCAAACUCACAGAGAUCCACCUGGCUCUGCCUCCUGAGUGCUGGGAUUAAAGGCGAGCACCACCACCAUUUGGCUACUGUCUUUAUUCUUAAUAUCUUACAGGAAGUAAGUCAGGAAUUCAUAUCAAAGAUGCCAUCUCCACCCUUAUCCCUGUCUUUAUUCUGAGUUCAGUCACAGGACCACCAUAUUGCUAGCUUUUCCCUAGUCCAUUUAAGCUUCUGUAACCACACAGUAUAAAGUGGGGAGCUUGUAAACCACAGAAAGUCAGUUCCUACAGCGACAGAGGCUGGACAGAAGUCUAGAGCCAGCCCUUAUUGUAUUUGGUGUCUAGCAAAGGCUCAUAGAUAGAGUCACCUUCCUACGUUGUCAAUGGCACAAGAAAAAGGCUCCCUCAGGCCACUUCUUGUUUAGUCACCUUCCUCAAAGUUCUACUUCCUAGUACUGUUUAUUACCAUGGGAGCUAGGAAUACAUCACAGGGAGUGUGUGUAAGGUAGCAUAUAUUGCUGGGGUCGGGGGAUGGGAUGACAAACAUUGAGACUAACAGCUUGCAUCUACAUUCCCAUUCCAAAAUCUUGUAAGGAUGUUUACUUUCUUUUCUCUUGAACUUCAAUAAACAAAGGCUUUGCUUUCUCUUAUCUCUUGAUAA